GAUGAACGCUGGCGGCGUGCCUAAUACAUGCAAGUCGAGCGAACAGACGAGGAGCUUGCUCCUCUGACGUUAGCGGCGGACGGGUGAGUAACACGUGGAUAACCUACCUAUAAGACUGGGAUAACUUCGGGAAACCGGAGCUAAUACCGGAUAAUAUAUUGAACCGCAUGGUUCAAUAGUGAAAGACGGUUUUGCUGUCACUUAUAGAUGGAUCCGCGCCGCAUUAGCUAGUUGGUAAGGUAACGGCUUACCAAGGCGACGAUGCGUAGCCGACCUGAGAGGGUGAUCGGCCACACUGGAACUGAGACACGGUCCAGACUCCUACGGGAGGCAGCAGUAGGGAAUCGUCCGCAAAGGGCGAAAGCCUGACGGAGCAACGCCGCGUGAGUGAUGAAGGUCUUCGGAUCGUAAAACUCUGUUAUUAGGGAAGAACAAAUGUGUAAGUAACUAUGCACGUCUUGACGGUACCUAAUCAGAAAGCCACGGCUAACUACGUG
rnacentral:rRNA from 1 species